rnacentral:lncRNA from 1 species
UUUAGGGGCGGGGCUGGGGCGGCUGCAGAGUGAAUGGUCCUCGGGAAGGGGAGGCGGGCGCGGACCGGCUCCCUCCAGUCUGCUUUUUAGGCUGUCCCGGGCUGCAAGCUUCAGGCUGUCCCGGCGGUGCCAUGUCGUUCUGCAGCUUCUUCGGGAACGAGGUUUUCCAGAACCACUUUGAGCCAGGUCCAGCCUGUCGCCCCUGCCGGGAGGGAGUGGGAUGGAAGGAGUGCAUAAGAAGGGGAAUCCCCUCGCUUCGGGUGGUGGUGGAGUCCGAGUCCGGGAAUAGGACGUGUGUGGCAGCUGAUGAGAAGCGAUUGAAGGCAAAGGGGGUCGAGGAGGAGGAACCCCGGAGGUCCUGGGAGUAGGAGGACCCCAGGGGAGAACUGAGGGAAGCCGUGGGUCCAGCUGUGUAGCGGGUGGUGAGGAGGCCGGGGUAUACUGGUCAUCUGAACGGCGCGAUGGAAAAUCUAUCUAACCCGAAGGCAGUUCGGGUUCCCAUUUCCGCUGGUGAGUGAGCAAGCACUGAAUAAAAAUGUGCCCGUCUGUGUCCUCCCCCAUCUGCCCAUGCCUUCCGGGUUGGGUAUCCAGGGGUGCAGUUUUUGGCAGCUGUCAGUGAAAUUUGGCAAGUGACUAAAUAGGUGCGGUAGUUUGGGGCAUACCCCAACCUCAGCCUUGGCCCCAGGCUGUGAGAGGCCCUGGUAAGUUCUCAUCUAGCUGGUUGGACUCCUGAUAAUGGACUAAUUUGGUAAAAGCACAUCCACAGGAAAGACUAGGGCACAGGCCUCCCUGGUAUGGGAUCUGUUGAGUGUUAAUCCUCUAGGGGACUGGCUUAUGACACUGAGCACUAUGGGACCAGCUGUGACACAGGACCAUGAGGGCGAAAUUGUUCCUUGGACCCUCUGGCUAUGAGACCCCGCUUGUCCUCUGCCAAGGGAAACUCCAUUCCAUAGCAUCUUCUAGUUCUUUGCUUCCUGCUUGAGUUCCUGGUAAAGGCUGAAUAAUUCACAGACUUCAGGGGAGGCUGUCCCCAGAUAGGUGGGGAGUGAUUCAGUACCCAUGGAGUUUCCUGUUUUGAGUUCUUCAAAUAAUCUGCAAGUCAGUUUUGCAAACUUCUCUGCCCCUGCCCUCUCCACCACAAAGUGAUCUUUUGGGGAUGGGUUGAAAUCUGUCCUCCCGGCCCCUGUCUUUCUGGGUUCCCUGUCUGCUGGAGGCCUGUUCUCCGGGACUAUCUUCUUCCUCCCUGGAGAGCAGGCCAGUGGGUGGGUGUCCAGUUCAGGGCUUUGUUGGGUAGUAGGAUAGCUGCUGAAAUGGGAGUGGGGCCAGGUGGUCAUGCUGACCACUCAGGGCCCCUCUCUGUGGGUUCUGCAGGGUGUGGUGAGGUGAGUGCUCUGUCCCUAUCAGAUUGCCUGGGCUUCUUCCUGGCCACACACCUCACUGGAUGUCCACAGUACCAAGCCUCAACUUCCUCAUCUGUAAAAUGGAAAUGUUAAAAGAUUCCAAAUCAUGCGGCCAUUGAUAAUUCUCUGCCUUUACUUUCUCCACACUCCAGGCAUCUAUGUGUGUGCCAAGUGUGGCUAUGAGCUCUUCUCCAGCCAUGCGAAGUACGCACACUCAUCCCCAUGGCCAGCAUUCACUGAGACCAUCCACGCUGACAGUGUGGCCAAGCGUGCAGAGCACAAUCGACCUCAGGCCUUGAAGGUGGGUGACAGUGACCAGAGUUGGGGGCGUGUUCAGGGAGAGCCAGAGAACCAGUCACACCUUCCUUCCUUGCUUCCCCCACAACUCUUGGGAAUUCCAGGCUGACUAUUUGAGGCUUCUGGCCUCAGCAAGGGGACUGCCACUCCAUACCUGGGGAAAGCCUAGUGUCCUGGUGGAAUGUGGGCAUCAGGGCAGUUUCCCUACCUAGGCCCCAGGACGAAGGUCAGCCUUCCGCAGUAGGACUGGCUUGCACCAGGGCUGUCUGAUGGGCCAGAACUGACAUGGCUACCUUGUGGGCUUCCCAGGUGUCCUGUGGCAGAUGUGGCAAUGGUUUGGGCCAUGAAUUCCUGAACGAUGGCCCCAAGCCUGGGCAAUCCCGAUUCUGAAUAUUUAGUAGCUCGAUGAAGUUCAUCCCUAAAGGUAAGCUGACCUUCUGCAGCUGGAGGACAACUACACACACUGCGGGGGUCUGGGGCAGGGGAGGACACAUCUGUGCUUAUUCACUUUCUUUCUUUCUUUCCUUCUUUCUUUCUUUUUUUUAGAGAGAGAGAGAGAAUUUUUUUUAAUAUUUAUUUUUUAGUUUUCGGUGGACACAACAUCUUUAUUUUAUUUUUAUGUGGUGCUGAGGAUUGAACCCAGCACCCCACACAUGCCAGGCGAGCGCAUUAUCGCUUGAGCUACAUCCCCAGCCCCUGCUUGUUCACUUUCUAUGGCAAAAUAUCAGGGGCACCAAAUCACACUGCUCACAGCCUUCCCAGGGUCACCCCAAAAAGUGGCUGCAAAUUUUAGCUCCCUCUGUGUGAUCCAGAGGGGGCAUCUGUGGGAGGGUAUGACAAAGGGUUUUCUCUAGAGUCCUGGCCCUUCUUAUAGCUAUAGUCAGUAGUUGGGGCCAGCAAAGCUGAGGACCUGGGUCAUGUGCUGCGUGUCCCUGUGGUCGUGAUCUCAGGCUUGCUUCUCAGCCUCUAAGUUUGCCUCCUCCUCUGUUUAGUGCCUGUGAUGGCAGAGCCUCCUUCCCAGGGCCGAUAAGAAUGGCUGCAUGGGAUGCAGAACCCUUGGGCCUGGUACAUGGUGCAGUUCAGGAUACCUGUGCCACUGCUGGUGGUGUUCUUGGCUGUGCAUUCUGCCAGCUCGGCUUCCUCUGUCUGCGCCUCACCUGCUCACAGGGAACCUUGUGCCUCAGCAGUCUGUCUGCAGAUGCAGCUGCCUGUCUCCUCCCCACACUCUAGUUCUCAUCUCAGUGUUCCCUGGCUGUCACCAGGACCCCAGCCAUUCCCUUCAUCUCUGUUUCAUACCCUGUGGAAUUGGGCUGUUGUCUUUAGCACAUGCCACACCACAAGCACAGUGGGGUAAAACGAGCACCCUCUGAGGGCCUGGUGCAUGAUUAGCCUGAGUGGUGUUUCUGUCCUUUCAUCGUCUUUGUCCCCUGUCAAAUAGACUCUCAGGGCCCAGGCCUCUGGGCCUUCCAGCUCAGCUGGUGUCUGAGGCACAGUUUCACAGUGGCUUUCUAUCCUCUCCUUUCUUUCAGGCAAAGAAAGUGCUGCCUCCGAGGGGCACUAGGCGAGCUGCCACACCUACCCCAGAUGUAUGUGCACCAUGGGCACACUCUGGCAUCCCACUUUGGCAUUGGAACCCUGGAAAUUCAACAGGGAGGUAGUGGCAGUGACUGAGACACCAGGAAGGCACCCACGGCCUGAGUUCUGGGCUGGACAGCCUUGGGCAAAGCACUUGUCUGCCACAGUCCAGUCUUCUGCCAGAAUGGGCCUUGAGGGUUGGGGCUGAGCUGCUGGCUAUCUUGGCCUCCAGCUCACAGUCUCUGGGCUUAUCUUGUCUUUGAAUAUCAUUGUACCCCCUACCUUCUCUUCUCCUUGACCUUCUGCCCAUUCCCUGGCUGUCUGGACCCAUGUCUGUGGAGCCCUGGUCCUCACCUAAGCUGUGCCCCUCUUCCCCAAGCUGUACUGGGAGGAAGAAUGCAAACAAGGGCUGCCCUGGCCUGCAGCUCCAGCCCUGGUGACUCUAUGAUCUGCUCUGGUAAAAGCCUUCUAAGCCAUCCAGGGUGGUGAUGAUUUGUGACCCACUAGGAGCGCAGGCUGAUGUGACAGACUCUUGACUCUUCAUCUCCUGGUGAGAGGCCCGGACCCUGUUUCCCAAUCUGUGGUAGAGCUUGCUUCAUUGGUUCUUGGGAAAGGGGCUGCUGUUGCACUGCUUCACCAGUGUAGCUGGGGCCCUGGGGUCAGUCCUUCCAGUUCAGACCCGAAUGCGGUCACCUUACUGUAUGAAUUCAAAAGCUCUUGCCAUCUAAGAGGGCAGAUGAUUCUUAAGCCCACCUCCCUAUCUUCUUGGAGUAAUCAGGAGGAAAUCAAUAAAUAAAUGACACCUGCC